UAGCCCAUCAGUGUAAACAAAGAGCUACUAUAAUUAGCCUUUAGGAUUUUCAUAAAGAUAGAAGGGUCUUUUCAGGACUGCGCAUCUGCUCCAAACUUCCUUUGUCUUUUUAUUUAACUUCAGUGCACCUUCAAAGAGUAUCAUCCAGACACAGCAAAAGUAUAGGUCUUUUUACUUAUCUAUCUGACCAUAAAAGCAGUAAUCAGACAGAAAACCAUAGAAAGUACUCAAAAACACUGGCAUCCUCAACCAGACAAAGGUUUUUACACAAGUCAGGAGUAUUUUGGAAACUGAAACUGGAAUUCUUCCCUGAUUAUCACUCCCCAGAGACAGGUAAGUAGAGCCCAAACAGUCUACAUCCAGUGUUAAUUGGUGAAAGAAAAUAACUGUAAUAUUCUCACUAUGGACAGCAUGUAUUUUUCAAAUGGCAGCCUGAUUAUAUUCUUUCCCUUCUUUCCUUAGCUGUCCAGGAGCUCAGACAACCGGGGAUAUAUCCAGAAUUGACUGAACUCUCUUAAGUAUUUGUUUCACAGUUAUGAAGAGCUGGGGUUCUUUGGGCUCUUAAACAUGAACUAAGUCUUUGGUGGUGACUUCAAGUUUUCAAGUCAAAUUUGCUUUCAAGGAGGAUUUCAU
rnacentral:lncRNA from 1 species